GACGUAGGGCGCGAGCGUUGUCCGGAUUUAUUGGGCGUAAAGGGCUCGUAGGCGGUCUGUCACGUCGGGAGUGAAAACUCAGGGCUUAACCCUGAGCCUGCUUCCGAUACGGGCAGACUAGAGGUAUGCAGGGGGAGAACGGAAUUCCUGGUGUAGCGGUGAAAUGUGCAGAUAUCAGGAGGAACACCGGUGGCGAAGGCGGAUCUCUGGGCCAUUACUGACGUGAGGAGCGAAAGCGUGGGGAGCGAACAGG
rnacentral:rRNA from 1 species